rnacentral:rRNA from 1 species
AGUGAACGCUGGCGGUAGGCCUAACACAUGCAAGUCGAACGGCAGCACAGUAAGAGCUUGCUCUUACGGGUGGCGAGUGGCGGACGGGUGAGGAAUACAUCGGAAUCUACUUUUUCGUGGGGGAUAACGUAGGGACACUUGCGCUAAUACCGCAUACGACCUACGGGUGAAAGCAGGGGAUCUUCGGACCUUGCGCGAUUGAAUGAGCCGAUGUCGGAUUAGCUAGUUGGCGGGGUAAAGGCCCACCAAGGCGACGAUCCGUAGCUGGUCUGAGAGGAUGAUCAGCGACACUGGAACUGAGACACGGUCCAGACUCCUACGGGAGGCAGCAGUGGGGAAUAUUGGACAAUGGGCGCAAGCCUGAUCCAGCCAUACCGCGUGGGUGAAGAAGGCCUUCGGGUUGUAAAGCCCUUUUGUUGGGAAAGAAAAGCAGCAGGUUAAUACCCCGCUGUUCUGACGGUACCCAAAGAAUAAGCACCGGCUAACUUCGUG